GGAGAGGUGCCAGAGCGGCUGAAUGGGCCGGUCUCGAAAACCGGUGUGCCUUUUAGGCACCGCGGGUUCGAAUCCCGCCCUCUCCG
rnacentral:tRNA from 1 species